GACGAACCGUACGAACGUUAUUCGGAAUUACUGGGCUUAAAGGGUGCGUAGGCGGCGCAGUAAGUUGGGUGUGAAAUCCCUCGGCUUUAACCGAGGAAUUGCGCCCAAAACUACUGUGCUCGAGGGAGAUAGAGGUGAGCGGAACUUAGGGUGGAGCGGUGAAAUGCGUUGAUAUCCUAGGAACACCGGUGGCGAAAGCGGCUCACUGGAUCUCUCUGACGCUGAGGCACGA
rnacentral:rRNA from 1 species